CCGCAGCUUGCGCAGGCCGCCCUGAGUGCGCUCCGGGACCUCUCAGGCUUGGGGAGGAUUUAACGCUUCCCUCACCCCCAAGACUUCCAAUCCUCAAUUACAGACCCAGGAGAAUUCCUUCGGGCUUGAAGGGAUUACGCAGAUCGCAGAAACAUGGUUAAGUGGAAGUCGGAGAAACCCGACAAGUAACAAGAACAGAAACUUUCUUCAAACCAAAUUUCCCGCAUUUUACGGGAAAGCGUACUCGAGAUCUCGCUACUGGGUCUUCACAGUGGCAGCCGCUGUUCUCUCAUCGGCCAGACAGGCCGGCGUGGAAGGCGGGUUUCCUGAGAGGUGUAUGUCCCAGAAUACACUCUGCCCUCCUGGGAGGAAAAGGCGACGCCUACGGCAGAGGGCCGUCCCGCAUCAGAGGUUCCAGGAGCGUCAAAGCCGGACUUCAGAUCUGAGCGGCGGCGGAGCCACGCUUGUGUGGUGUCCGCGCCCAUCUGGAGGCGGGUGGCGGGACCUCCUCGCCAGCGGUCCCCGCCCUGGGCCGAAGCCAGGCUUUGGCAGCAGCGGGUCACAAUCGGGGACAGGGGUGGCCGGAGGGGGCCCGAGCAUCAGGCUUCCUGGUCGCUAGAGGUAUUUUUAAUUCCGCAGAAGAGACUCAGGACUCCUAACUCCCAGCACUGGGUGCAGGCUCAGAAGGGGACUGUGUCAGACUUACUUUGCGGCGCGGCCCAGCCUUUUGCGCGCGCAAAGUCUCGGGACCGCCGGCGUGGUUAGAAACGCGGCCUGGGCCGGUUGGCGGAAGGGGGCGCAAUGCGCACGGCCGCUUGAGGAGCUCUGUAAGCAUGGAGGGCGGAGGGCUAGCUGAACACCGGCAGAUCCGAGCGCGGGAUGGGGCCUGAUGUCUACACCAUCAUUUUUGGAGAAGCUGUCAACUCUGACAAAUGAAGGAAAGCGGAAGGCAGCGAGCCGCACCUGCGAAAAGGCCUGGAAUUCCAGGGCCAACCCCGCCCAUCUGUUCUUUUCUAAGAGUACUUGGACCCUGCUUGAUUGUUUGAGAUCCAGCGAUUGGAUUUUCUGAAAGUAAAUCUCAGAAAUGGAAAUUCACGCUCAUUACCUUGCACAAACAUUUUUAAUUUCUGAGUGGCCUGCAUUGAGCCUAGAGGCAAGAAUCCUUCUUGCUGGAGCCAUAGUCGAGCCUGUAAAAGCCGAAAACCUUCCGCUGAGGUUAGAAAGGCAAUAAUUUAGACACACAGAGAAAAUUCCUAGCUGGAAGACAAGAGAAAACGCUCCAAGUGAAGUUAGAAAAUUUACCUUUGUAUAAAAAUCCUUUGAACAUUAUUGGACGUGUCUCCUCACACCCUAUGCAUGACCCAUCACACCUGGCCUCAGGUGUAUCUGCUGAUGGAGGACCAUUUUCAACUGUUGCCUGGUGGAGGUCCCUGCUAGCCCACAGGACAGCUUCAGCAGGCAAAUUACCUGUAAAAGAUGUAUGAGAAAAUCAAGGAAAUGUGGAGACCGGAUGUUUGAUGCCAUCAAAGCAUCGGUGUCAAUUUUUAAGGUUACUUUCCCUCGGGCAAGAGGAUGACUUCAGGGCGAGACCAGACCCUCGCGGGUCUCCUAAGGCCCCACCCCGUGACUCAGUGCGCCUGCGUGCAGCCCACCUGCUCAGGGUUCUCCCUCCUGCGGCCGCCAGAAGGAUGCACCCUAUCGCAGUAAGAGGCAGCUGCGUCAAGCCAGACAUCGCUCCUUCCCACGGACUAUGGGCAACCCCCAAAGAAUUAUAGCCUCUGUGCCAGGACGCCCUGCUACCUGCAUUGCGGGGGGGACAGGGCACUUCCACCGAGCUGCCCAAAGAACGUGC
ensembl:lncRNA